rnacentral:rRNA from 1 species
GACGGAACCGUGCGAACGUUGUUCGGAUUCACUGGGCUUAAAGGGCGCGUAGGCGGGCGGUCAAGUCAGGGGUGAAAUCUUUCGGCCUAACCGGAAAAGGGCCUCUGAUACUGGCCGUCUCGAGGGAGGUAGGGGCAUGCGGAACUUCCGGUGGAGCGGUGAAAUGCGUAGAUAUCGGAAGGAACGCCGGUGGCGAAAGCGGCGUGCUGGACCUCUUCUGACGCUGAGGCGCGAAAGCCAGGGGAGCGAACGGG